rfam:Pteropus alecto contig109326, whole genome shotgun sequence.
GUCUACGGCUAUGUCACCCUGAGCAAGCCUGAUCCCGUCUGAUCUCGGAAGCUAAGCAGGGUCGGGCCUGGUUAGUACUUGGAUGGGAGAUCACUUAGGAAGACCGGGUGCUGUAGGCG